rnacentral:misc_RNA from 1 species
GCCCUUGGAAGGUUUCCUAUUGAAUAGGGAGAUACCUUUCUGGAGUUCAAUUUUAUAAGCCCGACGCUGUUCAAGGCUGGCAGUGUCUGACAUUUCAGAGUUUGAUUCUGCAUGUAAAUCAUAAUCAGGGCUACUUGCAUCUUCCCCACUUGGGUUUGAAUAAUUCUCUGUUGAAGCAUCACUCUCCAGGCUCUUAGGCACAUAAGACUCUCCUAUUCUGAAUUGUUGAUCCAUCCAAGCACCCAUUGAUCUGAUGAUGCCAACCAAGC